rnacentral:rRNA from 1 species
GACGAACGCUGGCGGCGUGCUUAACACAUGCAAGUCGAACGGAAAGGCCCUGCUUUUGUGGGGUGCUCGAGUGGCGAACGGGUGAGUAACACGUGAGUAACCUGCCCUUGACUUUGGGAUAACUUCAGGAAACUGGGGCUAAUACCGGAUAGGAGCUCCUGCUGCAUGGUGGGGGUUGGAAAGUUUCGGCGGUUGGGGAUGGACUCGCGGCUUAUCAGCUUGUUGGUGGGGUAGUGGCUUACCAAGGCUUUGACGGGUAGCCGGCCUGAGAGGGUGACCGGCCACAUGGGGACUGAGAUACGGCCCAGACUCCUACGGGAGGCAGCAGUGGGGAAUAUUGCACAAUGGGCGGAAGCCUGAUGCAGCAACGCCGCGUGCGGGAUGACGGCCUUCGGGUUGUAAACCGCUUUCGCCUGUGACGAAGCGUGAGUGACGGUAAUGGGUAAAGAAGCACAGGCGAACUACGU